CAUAGGUUAAUGAGGCGAACCGGGGGAACUGAAACAUCUAAGUACCCCGAGGAAAAGAAAUCAACCGAGAUUCCCCCAGUAGCGGCGAGCGAACGGGGAGGAGCCCAGAGCCUGAAUCAGCAUGUGUGUUAGUGGAAGCGUCUGGAAAGGCGCGCGAUACAGGGUGACAGCCCCGUACACAAAAGCGCAUGUGCUGUGAGCUCGAUGAGUAGGGCGGGACACGUGGUAUCCUGUCUGAAUAUGGGGGGACCAUCCUCCAAGGCUAAAUACUCCUGACUGACCGAUAGUGAACCAGUACCGUGAGGGAAAGGCGAAAAGAACCCCGGCGAGGGGAGUGAAAAAGAACCUGAAACCGUGUACGUACAAGCAGUGGGAGCACCCUUUGGGGUGUGACUGCGUACCUUUUGUAUAAUGGGUCAGCGACUUAUAUUCUGUAGCAAGGUUAACCGUAUAGGGGAGCCGGAGGGAAACCGAGUCUUAACCGGGCGUUAAGUUGCAGGGUAUAGACCCGAAACCCGGUGAUCUAGCCAUGGGCAGGUUGAAGGUUGGGUAACACUAACUGGAGGACCGAACCGACUAAUGUUGAAAAAUUAGCGGAUGACCUGUGGCUGGGGGUGAAAGGCCAAUCAAACCGGGAGAUAGCUGGUUCUCCCCGAAAGCUAUUUAGGUAGCGCCUCGUGAAUUCAUCUCCGGGGGUAGAGCACUGUUUCGGCUAGGGGGCCAUCCCGGCUUACCAACCCGAUGCAAACUGCGAAUACCGGAGAAUGUUAUCACGGGAGACACACGGCGGGUGCUAACGUCCGUCGUGAAGAGGGAAACAACCCAGACCGCCAGCUAAGGUCCCAAAGUCAUGGUUAAGUGGGAAACGAUGUGGGAAGGCCCAGACAGCCAGGAUGUUGGCUUAGAAGCAGCCAUCAUUUAAAGAAAGCGUAAUAGCUCACUGGUCGAGUCGGCCUGCGCGGAAGAUGUAACGGGGCUAAACCAUGCACCGAAGCUGCGGCAGCGACGCUGAUGCGUUGUUGGGUAGGGGAGCGUUCUGUAAGCCUGCGAAGGUGGCCUGUGAGGGUUGCUGGAGGUAUCAGAAGUGCGAAUGCUGACAUAAGUAACGAUAAAGCGGGUGAAAAGCCCGCUCGCCGGAAGACCAAGGGUUCCUGUCCAACGUUAAUCGGGGCAGGGUGAGUCGACCCCUAAGGCGAGGCCGAAAGGCGUAGUCGAUGGGAAACGGGUUAAUAUUCCCGUACUUGGUGUUACUGCGAAGGGGGGACGGAGAAGGCUAUGUUGGCCGGGCGACGGUUGUCCCGGUUUAAGCGUGUAGGUGUGUGUUCCAGGUAAAUCCGGUU
rnacentral:rRNA from 1 species